GCAGCCUUAGCUCAGUUGGUAGAGCAUCACCUUGACAUGGUGGGGGUCACAGGUUCGAGUCCUGUAGGCUGCA
rnacentral:tRNA from 1 species